UACGGAGGGUGCAAGCGUUGUUCGGAAUCAUUGGGCGUAAAGCGCGUGUAGGCGGCUUGGCAAGUCGGUUGUGAAAGCCCGGGGCCCAACCCCGGAACUGCAUCUGAAACUGCCUGGCUAGAGUCCCGGAGAGGAAGGCAGAAUUCCCGGUGUAGGGGUGAAAUCCGUAGAUAUCGGGAGGAAUACCAGCGGCGAAGGCGGCCUUCUGGACGGUGACUGACGCUGAGACGCGAAAGCGUGGGGAGCAAACGGG
rnacentral:rRNA from 1 species